UCCUCCCUUUUCUUUUCAUCCAGAGAAAAGCAAAUUAAGCAAACCUCAAAACUGAGGACAAUGGGGUGCCUGGACCUGAGAUUAGCAUUGGAUGAGCCUCACACUUAAAAACACAGCCAUUUGAGCUCCCUUGUGUGCCAGAAUUAAUCAGCAAAAGCAGCCGUAAGAACACAUGCAGAAAAGGAAAACUGGAGCAGAAGCAAGAGCGGCCCGCCCAGGAGUAGUGAGCUCACACUUAACAAAACCACAGCCCCUGAGUUUGCCGUAGGACACAGGUCCUUCUGGGGCCGGUCAGUUAGACCCUCUGGCCUUUCCUGAAGCCCUGGAAGAAUCACCAACUCUUCUCCAAGGAAUGAGACAUGGCCUGUCUGGGUGGUGACGGCUCCUACCUGCUUCCCCAAGUCAGGGCAUCCGGAUCGGAGCACAGAUCACCUCCGCUUCCUCCCCUGGAAAAACUGGGACGAUAAUACUCGACUCAGAGGGUCUUUUGCUCGUGGCUGAAUGGUUAGGAGUGAUCUCUGGCCCCACCCUGCCUGGACCCUGAAUAGUCCCUGGUACACAGCAAGGACACUGGGUAUUUGCUUUUGGCCCCAGACGUGGCUUCUGGAACAGAGACUCCUCAGGGAGGGCUGGUGGCACUCAGGAUGAUGAUACCAGAAUGGAGGCCAUGCUCGCCGUUGUCCGGCACUGACGUCAUGAAUACUUGUGAAGAAAACGUCAAUCACAUCUAACCAGGUCCCACCUGGUAGCUGCAGUGGAUCCUGUGGAAUGUGAAGAGGUUCACGGAAGCACACGUUUAGCACCCUGCAGGCUCCCAGGGAGAACACUACAGAGGUGUGUUAAACUGAAGACCCUAAGCUGUGUAGAGUUCAAAUGUUCCUGAAAGUCGGUCCUCUUUAACACUAUGACGUUGGAAAGUGGGGAUUGAAUUAGUCCAGUGAGCUUUUGAGAGGAGUGGCAUUCGGAGAAAUAGAACAGAAUCUCUAAGAAAAGAGGAUGUUUGCUUAAAAGUCAACUUGCCGUGUGAACUUCUGGAUGGUGGAAGUUUGUGCCAGUUUCAGAGAAUGUUCCUCAAGUUGUGUGCUGUCGCUGCGUUUUGAAAGAUGCUCUGAGAGAAAGAAUUUCUCCUAUGACUGCUUGACCAAGAGCUCUACCUGCCCGAUUGAAGAUCAGGCAGAUUCUCAACCACUGCGCCACCAGGGAAGCCCAGCUUGGAGACUUUUCAUGCUAUCACACCUGUGACACCAGUCCUUAGACAAGAAUGGACAGGCCACGCCCAUUUCCAGGCAUUGGGCCCCAUGCCCCAAGGUAACCACAUCCUGAGUGUUAUCAUCAUAGAUGUAGAGGUGCCUGUGCUUGAAAUUGGCAUAAAUAGAAACAUAUAGCAUGCCCUCUUCUGCAUCCUGCUUAUUUCAUUCAAUUGUAUGUUUGUGAGAUUUACUGAUAAUUUCAGGUGGAGUCGUAGGUCAUUCAUUCUCACUGCCCAGUGGUAUUCUGUUGUAAGUAUGCACCACAAUUUAUAAAUCCUACUGUUAAUGGGCAUUUUGGGUAGUUUCCAAGUUGGGGCUGUUACGAACUGUGCUGCAAUGAACAUUCUUACUCAUAUCUUUUGAGGGAUGUUUUUACACGUUUCUGUGGGACAGACAAGAGCUGGGACGUAGAGCGUGGAUGCAUGAAGUUCAAGUGGAUGCCCCAAACAGCUUUCUAAAGUGGGUAUCCAAACUAAUGCAGCUAUCUGCAGUUUUUCCACAUCCUUGCCAAUGUUAGAUUUUAUUUUUCUUUUUAAUUUUACUCAAUCUAGUAGGUGUGCCUUGACAUCGAGCUGAGAUUUCAAUUUGCGUUUACUUGCUAACCGAUGGGGCUAAGCAACUCUUUAUGUUAAUGGGUCAUUUGCAUAUCCUCUUUUUGUUCAAGUCAGCUCAUUUUUCUACUGAGUUGCCUGUCAUUAAUUUGUAGGAAAUUUUUAAUAUGCUCUGGGUACAAGUUGUUUGUUAUAUUUGCUGCAAAUAUCUUCUACUCUAUACAUUGUCUUUUCAUUUUAUUAAUGAUGUCUUUGGAUGGACAGAGCUUCUUGAUAUUAUUAUUUUCCAAAUUGUCUUGUUUUCCCCUUCUGGUUAGUGUUGUCUUGGAACCUUUUAAAGGAAAU